rnacentral:lncRNA from 1 species
AUUUGGUUAAGAUUUGAUUUAGGAUUUAGGAUUUGGUUUAGGAUUUGGUUUAGGGUUUGGUUGGGGUUUGGUUUAAGGUUUGUUUAGGAUUUGGUUUAGGAUUUAAGGUUUGAAUAGAAUUUGGUUUAGGAUUUGGUUAGGAUUUGGUUAGGAUUUGGUUUAGGGAUUAGGAUUUAGUUUAGGAUUUAGGAUUUAUUUAUGGUUUAAGAUUUAAUUAGUUUUGGCCUAAAGUUUGAAUAAAGUCCAAUAGGAUUUUAACUAGGACUAAAUUAAGAUAGAAUUGAGAUGUAUUUGAGAUAUAUUUGUGAUCAUUCUAAUAUUUUUUUAAGAUUUUUUAUUAUUUCUUUGAAAUUUCUUUGAAGUUUCUUUGAAUGUGAUUAAAGCUUGCUUAACAUUAUUAUGGUCUAAUUAGAGUUUAGUUAAUAUUCUAUUAGA